UACGGGGGGAGCAAGCGUUGUUCGGAUUUACUGGGCGUAAAGGGCGCGUAGGCGGUCAGCACAAGUCAGUUGUGAAAUCUCCGGGCUUAACUCGGAAAGGUCAACUGAUACUGUGCGACUAGAGUGCAGAAGGGGCAACUGGAAUUCUCGGUGUAGCGGUGAAAUGCGCAGAUAUCAGGAAGAACACCAAUGGCGAAGGCAGCUCUCUGGGACGGUACUGACGCUGAGACGCGAAAGCGUGGGGAGCGAACAGG
rnacentral:rRNA from 1 species